rnacentral:tRNA from 1 species
GAGGGUAUAGCUCAAGUGGUAGAGCGGGUGCUUAGCAUGCACGAGGUCCUGGGUUCAAUCCCCAGUCCCUCCU